CCUCCUUUCUUCCGCCGUGGGGGAUAUUGCACAAUGGGGGAAACCCUGAUGCAGCGACGCCGCGUGUGGGAAGACGGUCCUCUGGAUUGUAAACCACUGUCCCCAGGGACGAAGAUGACGGUACCUGGGGAGGAAGCUCCGGCUACCUACGUGCCAGCAGCCGCGGUAAUACGUAGGUGGCGAGCGUUGUCCGGAAUUACUGGGUGUAAAGGGAGCGUAGGCGGGGAUGCAAGUUGGGUGUCAAAACUACCGGCUCAACUGGUAGUCGCACUCAAAACUGCAGCUCUUGAGUGAAGUAGAGGCAGGCGGAAUUCCUAGUGGAGCGGUGAAAUGCGUAGAUAUUAGGAGGAACACCAGUGGCGAAGGCGGCCUGCUGGGCUUUUACUGACGCUGAGGCUCGAAAGUGUGGGGAGCAAACAGGAUUAGAUACCCCUGUAGUC
rnacentral:rRNA from 1 species